rnacentral:rRNA from 1 species
ACGAACGCUGGCGGCGUGCUUAACACAUGCAAGUCGAACGGAAAGGCCCCUUUGGGGGUACUCGAGUGGCGAACGGGUGAGUAACACGUGAGUAACCUGCCCUUGACUUCGGGAUAACUUCAGGAAACUGGGGCUAAUACCGGAUAGGAAUCCUUGCUGCAUGGUGGGGUUGGAAAGCUUCGGCGGUUUUGGAUGGACUCGCGGCUUAUCAGCUUGUUGGUGGGGUAGUGGCUUACCAAGGCUUUGACGGGUAGCCGGCCUGAGAGGGCGACCGGCCACAUUGGGACUGAGAUACGGCCCAGACUCCUACGGGAGGCAGCAGUGGGGAAUAUUGCACAAUGGGCGGAAGCCUGAUGCAGCAACGCCGCGUGCGGGAUGACGGCCUUCGGGUUGUAAACCGCUUUCAGCAGGGGCGAAGCUUGUGGUGACGGUACCUGCAGAAGAAGCACCGGCUAACUACGUG